rnacentral:rRNA from 1 species
AUUGAACGCUGGCGGCAGGCCUAACACAUGCAAGUCGAGCGGAUGAAGGGAGCUUGCUCCUGGAUUCAGCGGCGGACGGGUGAGUAAUGCCUAGGAAUCUGCCUGGUAGUGGGGGAUAACGUCCGGAAACGGGCGCUAAUACCGCAUACGUCCUGAGGGAGAAAGUGGGGGAUCUUCGGACCUCACGCUAUCAGAUGAGCCUAGGUCGGAUUAGCUAGUUGGUGGGGUAAAGGCCUACCAAGGGGACGAACCGUAACUGGUCUGAGAGGAUGAUCAGGCACACUGGAACUGAGACACGGUCCAGACCCCUACGGGAGGCAGCAGUGGGGAAUAGUGGACAAUGGGCGAAAGCCUGAUCAAGCCAUGACGCGUGUGAAGAAGGUCUUCGGAUUGUAAAGCACUUUAAGUUGGGAGGAAGGGCAGUAAGUUAAUACCUUGCUGUUUUGACGUUACCAACAGAAUAAGCACCGGCUAACUUCGUG